CUUGCGGUCAUAUCCCGUUAAAACACUGGUUCUCUUACGGUCACCGAAGUUGAGCAACGUUCAGCUAGGUCAAUACUUAGAUGGGUUACCGCUUGAAAAUACCAGGUAGUGCAA